rnacentral:sRNA from 1 species
GCCGGGCGCAGUGGUGCACACCUGUAAUCCCAGAGGCUUGGGAGGCUGAGACAGGAGGAUGGUGAGUUCAAAGCCAGCCUCUGCAAAAGCAAGGCCCUAAGCAACUCAGUGAGACCCUGUCUCUA